AGAAUCAACGCUGGCGGCGUGCCUAACACAUGCAAGUCGCACGAGAAAGGGUAGCAAUACCUGAGUAAAGUGGCGCACGGGUGAGUAACACGUGAAUUAUCUACCUCCGAGUGGGGAAUAACUGAGAGAAAUCUUAGCUAAUACCGCAUAACACUUACGAGUCAAAGCAGCAAUGCGCUUGGAGAGGAGUUCGCGGCAGAUUAGUUAGUUGGCGGGGUAAUGGCCCACCAAGACGAUGAUCUGUAUCCGGCCUGAGAGGGCGCACGGACACACUGGAACUGAAACACGGUCCAGACUCCUACGGGAGGCAGCAGUGGGGAAUUUUGCGCAAUGGGGGAAACCCUGACGCAGCAACGCCGCGUGGAGGAUGAAAUAUCUUGGUAUGUAAACUCCUUUCGAUGGGGAAGAUUAUGACGGUACCCAUAGAAGAAGCCCCGGCUAACUUCGCGCCAGCAGCCGC
rnacentral:rRNA from 1 species